rnacentral:rRNA from 1 species
UACGUAGGGUCCGAGCGUUGUCCGGAAUUAUUGGGCGUAAAGAGCUCGUAGGCGGCUUGUCGCGUCGACUGUGAAAACCUGCGGCUCAACCGUGUGGUCUGCAGUCGAUACGGGCAGGCUAGAGUUCGGUAGGGGAGACUGGAAUUCCUGGUGUAGCGGUGAAAUGCGCAGAUAUCAGGAAGAACACCAAUGGCGAAAGCAGCUCUCUGGGACGGUACUGACGCUGAGACGCGAAAAGCGUGGGGGAGCGAACAGG